GCAAGGAAGUCAGUGUAGCUAGAAAGGGGCACCUGAGGGGCCUUGUCUUGGGGCCUUGAUAAACAAUUACCGGGUUCUGAGGAGACGGGCUGGGCCAGAGCAGCCAUGUUUGCACUCGAACUACCUGUGCAAAGUGCAGGUCAAGAAGGACCAGUUGCUAUGUUGAUGCCGACCCGAUGAGUUUCUGUGCAAAGGCAUGCAGCAGUUAUCAGGCACCAACUCCCAGGGACAGAGAAGCAUAACAAGAUGACCCUAAUGUCUCAUCAGUUCUGUGUCCUUCAAUUUGCCUGCUUCGCUGAAACUUUCCCACAAAUAACCUUUUGAUGAUGAAACCUAUAUAAUAAAAUGCUGAGCUAGCUCUGGGUCAAACUCCAUUAGAGUCUGGCUGCCCACCUGGCCCUUUUCUUCAUUUCCCAUCACCCCUCGUCAGGUUUCUUCCCUGAAUUAACAGCCACAGCUGAGAGAGAUGAGAGAGCCACAGUAGAAGUGUAUGUCUUCAACUGAGGGCUUCCUCUGGGGUUCCUCAUGGUAAUUCCAUAUUUAGUGAUAAAUGUUAAUGGAAACUACCCCUGUCCAUCACAGGUGGGACUGCUAUGGGUUCAGACCCUUGAGGAUUGAAGCUUAAUAUCACUCUAUCAGUAGGGAAGUUCUCUGAGGGCAAAAGGAACAUGGAACAGGAAGCUAUAAACACCAACUAUGGUCUUAUGAGCAGAGAAUAAAGAAUCAGAGAAGCUA